ACUUGCUUUGCCAGUGUGUAUAUUAAAUUUAGAUCAGUAUACAGAUUAGCAUGACCUUUGGGUAAGGAUGAAAUGCAAAUUUGUGAAGUAUUUUUCUUUUGC
rnacentral:snRNA from 1 species